rnacentral:lncRNA from 1 species
AUUAAAAACUAGUUAGUGCUUACGAGUUGGUCAUAUGUGGCAUUGAACAACUGGGGAGUUAUCAUUUUCUCGAACAAAGCAUUAAAUUCUCAACUUAAAACUACUUUAGAAUGGGUGUCUGGGCUAAUUGUUGAAGUUGAUGAACAACAUGAGACAUUCUGGGGCGCAUUGAUGGCACAUGCUGUGUACAAGCAUAAACAAGGUCCACCACCUUCUGAAUCACACUGGCCUCUGGAAUAUCAGACGAAAAAGCAGUUAUGUGCGGAUCCAGGAGAUCUGGGUAUCGAUGAGCUUGGACAAGGGGUGUUGCCCACUCGAAAAUACUCUGCCAACCGACUGAAUCAACAGCCUGGGCAGGCCUACGUCCGCUCACAAUUUCAAGCAGUAGCACGCCAAAACUAUAAACGUCACUCUUUGUUGUAAGCUCAUUUCUGUACACAAACUCUGGAGCCAGGUAUCCAUACGUGCCACCAGCUAUCACUGUCCUCUCAUGCAUCACUUCAUAUGGCACAAACUUUGAUAGACCAACCCCCAUCAGAUGGGCUCCAAAAUCUUCAUCAAGAAGUACAUUACUAGCACGGAUAUCCCGAUGCACAACAUGGGGCUUAACCUUGUCAUGUAGAAACCUGUUGUAAAAUAAAUUAUGGGCAAACACCAGUUAAAUAAAAAACAGUCUCGCAUGAUUCCAUCCUAGCAACGCAAUAAUCCAGUGUCUCGUAGGCUAAAGCACAUAAAGCACUAAUGAUCAAACCUUGGUUACACUCUUAAUAAUGGUGUUGAACAAGAUAAAAUUCACUAUCAGUUUAUUCAUAAGUUUUCCAAAUUGAGCAAGUUCGUCAAAACAUCGUUUUCUUUUGCUUUCACAAUGCGUCUAGCGUACAAAUUUCAAAAGCAAAUCAAGUUUUUUCAUCUACUUCAGGUUAACACAUAAAUUUUCCAAAAAAAUUUGUGUUUUCUCUACAAGUCACUAGGUUUAAGCUCCAUCAUGCAAGAUCUGCCAACAGAAGAUCCUAAAUAUAACUACUUCUAGCAGAACAUCCUAAAGAACAUAGGAAAGAAGCAUUAUAAUGAAUAGCAUCCUUGUACAUUUCAACAGGUGUUCACUUAGGUUGAGAAAUUGGGUCAUAUGGCAACAAUCAGAUAUGACGAUCACAUGAUUAUGGAUAUAAAU